AGUGAACGCUGGCGGCGUGCUUAACACAUGCAAGUCGAACGAGAACGGAAUAUAGCUUGCUAUAUUUGUCAGCUAAGUGGCGCACGGGUGAGUAAUGUAUAGAUAACCUGCCCUUAAGAAAGGAAUGACAGUUGGAAACGACUGCUAAUGCCCUAUAUGCCUUUAAUACAUAAGUAUGCAAGGGAAACGCUUUAGUGCUUAAGGAUGGGUCUGUAUGGUAUCAGCUUGUUGGUGAGGUAAUGGCUCACCAAGGCUAUGACGCCUAACUGGUUUGAGAGGAUGAUCAGUCACACUGGAACUGAGACACGGUCCAGACUCCUACGGGAGGCAGCAGUGGGGAAUAUUGCACAAUGGACGAAAGUCUGAUGCAGCGACGCCGCGUGGAGGAUGACACAUUUCGGUGCGUAAACUCCUUUUAUAUAGGAAGAUAAUGACGGUACUAUAUGAAUAAGCACCGGCUAACUCCGUGCCAGCCGCCGCGGUAACAC
rnacentral:rRNA from 1 species